rnacentral:rRNA from 1 species
UGAUGGAGGGGGAUAACUACUGGAAACGCGGUAGCUAAUACCGCAUAACGUCGCAAGACCAAAGAGGGGGACCUUCGGGCCUCUUGCCAUCGGAUGUGCCCAGAUGGGAUUAGCUAGUAGGUGGGGUAACGGCUCACCUAGGCGACGAUCCCUAGCUGGUCUGAGAGGAUGACCAGCCACACUGGAACUGAGACACGGUCCAGACUCCUACGGGAGGCAGCAGUGGGGAAUAUUGCACAAUGGGCGCAAGCCUGAUGCAGCCAUGCCGCGUGUAUGAAGAAGGCCUUCGGGUUGUAAAGUACUUUCAGCGGGGAGGAAGGCGAUAAGGUUAAUAACCUUGUCGAUUGACGUUACCCGCAGAAGAAGCACCGGCUAACUCCGUGCCAGCAGCCGCGGGUAAUACGGGAGGGUGCAAGCUUUAAUCGGAAUUACUGGGCGUAAAGCGCACGCAAGCGGUCUGUCAAGUCGGAUGUCAAAUCCCCGGGCGCAACCUGNGAACUGCAUUCGAAACUGGCAGGCUAUA